rnacentral:rRNA from 1 species
GGUGGGCACCAAUUGGCUCGUCCCUACUGCCGGCGAUGAUCUCCUGGCCUUAAUUGGCCGGGUCGUGCCUCCGGCGCUGUUACUUUUAAGAAAAAUUAGUGCUCAAAGCAAGCCCACACUCUCAAUACAUUUUCAUGGGAUAACACCUCAGGAGUCCCAUACUCUAGUGUUGGCCUUCUGGAUAUCAGAAAUGAUAAAAAGGGGCACUCGGGGGCGUUUUUAUUUUUCAUUCACAGAUGAAAUUCUUGGAUUUUUAAAAAACAAAAAACUGCGAAAGCAUUUGCCAAGGAUGUUUUCUUUUAUCAAGAAAGAAAGUUGGGGGCUAGAAGACGAUCAGAUACUGUCCUUGUCUCAACCAUAAACGACGCCCCCCAGGGAUCAGCGGAUGUUGUUUUUAGGACUCCGGGGGCCCUUUAUGAGAAAUCAAAGUUUUUGGUUUCCGGGGGGAGUAUUGUCGCAAGGGUGAAAUUUAAAGGAAUUGACGGAAGGGCCCCCCCGGGAGGGGAGCCUGGGGUUUUAUUUGACUCAACACGGGGAAAUUUCCCAGGUCCAGACAUAGUAAAGAUUGACAGACUGAGAGCUCUUUUUUGAUUCUAUGGGUGGUGGUGCAUGGCCGUUCUUAGUUGGUGGAGCGAUUUGUCUGGUUAAUUCCGUUAACGAAGGAGACCUCAGCCUGCUAACUAGCUAUGUGGAGGUACACCUCCACGGCCAGCUUCUUAGAGGGAGUAUGGC